GGUUAAGCGACUAAGCGUACACGGUGGAUGCCCUGGCAGUCAGAGGCGAUGAAGGACGUGCUAAUCUGCGAAAAGCGCCGGCGAGGUGAUAUGAACCCUUGACCCGGCGAUGUCCGAAUGGGGAAACCCAGUGUGUUUCGACACACUAUCGUUAACUGAAUACAUAGGUUAACGAGGCGAACCGGGGGAACUGAAACAUCUAAGUACCCCGAGGAAAAGAAAUCAACCGAGAUUCCCCCAGUAGCGGCGAGCGAACGGGGAGCAGCCCGGAGUCUGAAUCAGCUUGUGUGUUAGUGGAACGGUCUGGAAAGUCCGACGGUACAGGGUGAUAGUCCCGUACACGAAAACACACUUGCUGUGAACUCGAAGAGUAGGGCGGGACACGUGGUAUCCUGUCUGAAUAUGGGGGGACCAUCCUCCAAGGCUAAAUACUCCUGACUGACCGAUAGUGAACCAGUACCGUGAGGGAAAGGCGAAAAGAACCCCGGCGAGGGGAGUGAAAAAGAACCUGAAACCGUGUACGUACAAGCAGUGGGAGCCUCUUUAUGGGGUGACUGCGUACCUUUUGUAUAAUGGGUCAGCGACUUAUAUUCUGUAGCAAGGUUAACCGUAUAGGGGAGCCGAAGGGAAACCGAGUCUUAACUGGGCGUUAAGUUGCAGGGUAUAGACCCGAAACCCGGUGAUCUAGCCAUGGGCAGGUUGAAGGUUGGGUAACACUAACUGGAGGACCGAACCGACUAAUGUUGAAAAAUUAGCGGAUGACCUGUGGCUGGGGGUGAAAGGCCAAUCAAACCGGGAGAUAGCUGGUUCUCCCCGAAAGCUAUUUAGGUAGCGCCUCGUGAACUCAUCUUCGGGGGUAGAGCACUGUUUCGGCUAGGGGGCCAUCCCGGCUUACCAACCCGAUGCAAACUACGAAUACCGAAGAAUGUUAUCACGGGAGACACACGGCGGGUGCUAACGUCCGUCGUGAAGAGGGAAACAACCCAGACCGCCAGCUAAGGUCCCAAAGUCAUGGUUAAGUGGGAAACGAUGUGGGAAGGCACAGACAGCCAGGAUGUUGGCUUAGAAGCAGCCAUCAUUUAAAGAAAGCGUAAUAGCUCACUGGUCGAGUCGGCCUGCGCGGAAGAUGUAACGGGGCUAAACCAUGCACCGAAGCUGCGGCAGCGACACUAUGUGUUGUUGGGUAGGGGAGCGUUCUGUAAGCCGUUGAAGGUGUGCUGUGAGGCAUGCUGGAGGUAUCAGAAGUGCGAAUGCUGACAUAAGUAACGAUAAAGCGGGUGAAAAGCCCGCUCGCCGGAAGACCAAGGGUUCCUGUCCAACGUUAAUCGGGGCAGGGUGAGUCGACCCCUAAGGCGAGGCCGAAAGGCGUAGUCGAUGGGAAACAGGUUAAUAUUCCUGUACUUGGUGUUACUGCGAAGGGGGGACGGAGAAGGCUAUGUCAGCCGGGCGACGGUUGUCCCGGUUUAAGCAUGUAGGCGGAGGUUCCAGGUAAAUCCGGUACCUUAUUAACGCUGAGGUGUGAUGACGAGGCACUACGGUGCUGAAGUGAUAAAUGCCCUGCUUCCAGGAAAAGCCUCUAAGCAUCAGGUAACACGAAAUCGUACCCCAAACCGACACAGGUGGUCAGGUAGAGAAUACCAAGGCGCUUGAGAGAACUCGGGUGAAGGAACUAGGCAAAAUGGUGCCGUAACUUCGGGAGAAGGCACGCUGAUAUGUAGGUGAAGUCCCUGCGGACGGAGCUGAAAUCAGUCGAAGAUACCAGCUGGCUGCAACUGUUUAUUAAAAACACAGCACUGUGCAAACACGAAAGUGGACGUAUACGGUGUGACGCCUGCCCGGUGCCGGAAGGUUAAUUGAUGGGGUUAGCGGCAACGCGAAGCUCUUGAUCGAAGCCCCGGUAAACGGCGGCCGUAACUAUAACGGUCCUAAGGUAGCGAAAUUCCUUGUCGGGUAAGUUCCGACCUGCACGAAUGGCGUAAUGAUGGCCAGGCUGUCUCCACCCGAGACUCAGUGAAAUUGAACUCGCUGUGAAGAUGCAGUGUACCCGCGGCAAGACGGAAAGACCCCGUGAACCUUUACUAUAGCUUGACACUGAACACUGGUCCUUGAUGUGUAGGAUAGGUGGGAGGCUUUGAAGCGUGGACGCCAGUCUGCGUGGAGCCGUCCUUGAAAUACCACCCUUUAAUGGCUGGUGUUCUAACGUAGACCCGUGAUCCGGGUUGCGGACAGUGUCUGGUGGGUAGUUUGACUGGGGCGGUCUCCUCCCAAAGAGUAACGGAGGAGCACGAAGGUUGGCUAAUCCUGGUCGGACAUCAGGAGGUUAGUGCAAUGGCAUAAGCCAGCUUGACUGCGAGCGUGACGGCGCGAGCAGGUGCGAAAGCAGGUCAUAGUGAUCCGGUGGUUCUGAAUGGAAGGGCCAUCGCUCAACGGAUAAAAGGUACUCCGGGGAUAACAGGCUGAUACCGCCCAAGAGUUCAUAUCGACGGCGGUGUUUGGCACCUCGAUGUCGGCUCAUCACAUCCUGGGGCUGAAGUAGGUCCCAAGGGUAUGGCUGUUCGCCAUUUAAAGUGGUACGCGAGCUGGGUUUAGAACGUCGUGAGACAGUUCGGUCCCUAUCUGCCGUGGGCGCUGGAGAAUUGAGGGGGGCUGCUCCUAGUACGAGAGGACCGGAGUGGACGCAUCACUGGUGUUCGGGUUGUCAUGCCAAUGGCACUGCCCGGUAGCUAAAUGCGGAAGAGAUAAGUGCUGAAAGCAUCUAAGCACGAAACUUGCCCCGAGAUGAGUUCUCCCUGAGAC
rnacentral:rRNA from 1 species